CACUAUCGUUAACUGAAUACAUAGGUUAACGAGGCGAACCGGGGGAACUGAAACAUCUAAGUACCCCGAGGAAAAGAAAUCAACCGAGAUUCCCCCAGUAGCGGCGAGCGAACGGGGAGCAGCCCAGAGUCUGAAUCAGCUUGUGUGUUAGUGGAACGGUCUGGAAAGUCCGACGGUACAGGGUGAUAGUCCCGUACACCAAAAUGCACAGGCUGUGAACUCGAAGAGUAGGGCGGGACACGUGGUAUCCUGUCUGAAUAUGGGGGGACCAUCCUCCAAGGCUAAAUACUCCUGACUGACCGAUAGUGAACCAGUACCGUGAGGGAAAGGCGAAAAGAACCCCGGCGAGGGGAGUGAAAAAGAACCUGAAACCGUGUACGUACAAGCAGUGGGAGCCACCUUAGGGGGUGACUGCGUACCUUUUGUAUAAUGGGUCAGCGACUUAUAUUCUGUAGCAAGGUUAACCGUAUAGGGGAGCCGCAGGGAAACCGAGUCUUAACUGGGCGUUAAGUUGCAGGGUAUAGACCCGAAACCCGGUGAUCUAGCCAUGGGCAGGUUGAAGGUUGGGUAACACUAACUGGAGGACCGAACCGACUAAUGUUGAAAAAUUAGCGGAUGACUUGUGGCUGGGGGUGAAAGGCCAAUCAAACCGGGAGAUAGCUGGUUCUCCCCGAAAGCUAUUUAGGUAGCGCCUCGUGAACUCAUCUUCGGGGGUAGAGCACUGUUUCGGCUAGGGGGUCAUCCCGACUUACCAACCCGAUGCAAACUACGAAUACCGAAGAAUGUUAUCACGGGAGACACACGGCGGGUGCUAACGUCCGUCGUGAAGAGGGAAACAACCCAGACCGCCAGCUAAGGUCCCAAAGUCAUGGUUAAGUGGGAAACGAUGUGGGAAGGCCCAGACAGCCAGGAUGUUGGCUUAGAAGCAGCCAUCAUUUAAAGAAAGCGUAAUAGCUCACUGGUCGAGUCGGCCUGCGCGGAAGAUGUAACGGGGCUAAACCAUGCACCGAAGCUGCGGCAGCGACACUAUGUGUUGUUGGGUAGGGGAGCGUUCUGUAAGCCUGUGAAGGUGGCCUGUGAGGGCUGCUGGAGGUAUCAGAAGUGCGAAUGCUGACAUAAGUAACGAUAAAGCGGGUGAAAAGCCCGCUCGCCGGAAGACCAAGGGUUCCUGUCCAACGUUAAUCGGGGCAGGGUGAGUCGACCCCUAAGGCGAGGCCGAAAGGCGUAGUCGAUGGGAAACAGGUUAAUAUUCCUGUACUUGGUGUUACUGCGAAGGGGGGACGGAGAAGGCUAUGUCAUCCGGGCGACGGUUGUCCCGGUUUAAGCAUGUAGGCUGGUUAUCCAGGCAAAUCCGGAUAAUCAAGGCUGAGGUGUGAUGACGAGGUACCACGGUACUGAAGUGACAGAUGCCCUGCUUCCAGGAAAAGCCUCUAAGCAUCAGGUAACAUCAAAUCGUACCCCAAACCGACACAGGUGGUCAGGUAGAGAAUACCAAGGCGCUUGAGAGAACUCGGGUGAAGGAACUAGGCAAAAUGGUGCCGUAACUUCGGGAGAAGGCACGCUGGUGUGUAGGUGAAGUCCCUGCGGAUGGAGCUGAGACCAGUCGAAGAUACCAGCUGGCUGCAACUGUUUAUUAAAAACACAGCACUGUGCAAACACGAAAGUGGACGUAUACGGUGUGACGCCUGCCCGGUGCCGGAAGGUUAAUUGAUGGGGUUAUCCGUAAGGAGAAGCUCUUGAUCGAAGCCCCGGUAAACGGCGGCCGUAACUAUAACGGUCCUAAGGUAGCGAAAUUCCUUGUCGGGUAAGUUCCGACCUGCACGAAUGGCGUAAUGAUGGCCAGGCUGUCUCCACCCGAGACUCAGUGAAAUUGAACUCGCUGUGAAGAUGCAGUGUACCCGCGGCAAGACGGAAAGACCCCGUGAACCUUUACUAUAGCUUGACACUGAACAUUGAGCCUUGAUGUGUAGGAUAGGUGGGAGGCUUUGAAGCGUGGACGCCAGUCUGCGUGGAGCCAACCUUGAAAUACCACCCUUUAAUGUUUGAUGUUCUAACGUCGACCCCUAAUCCGGGUUGCGGACAGUGUCUGGUGGGUAGUUUGACUGGGGCGGUCUCCUCCCAAAGCGUAACGGAGGAGCACGAAGGUUAGCUAAUCCUGGUCGGACAUCAGGAGGUUAGUGCAAUGGCAUAAGCUAGCUUGACUGCGAGCGUGACGGCGCGAGCAGGUGCGAAAGCAGGUCAUAGUGAUCCGGUGGUUCUGAAUGGAAGGGCCAUCGCUCAACGGAUAAAAGGUACUCCGGGGAUAACAGGCUGAUACCGCCCAAGAGUUCAUAUCGACGGCGGUGUUUGGCACCUCGAUGUCGGCUCAUCACAUCCUGGGGCUGAAGUAGGUCCCAAGGGUAUGGCUGUUCGCCAUUUAAAGUGGUACGCGAGCUGGGUUUAGAACGUCGUGAGACAGUUCGGUCCCUAUCUGCCGUGGGCGCUGGAGAAUUGAGGGGGGCUGCUCCUAGUACGAGAGGACCGGAGUGGACGCAUCACUGGUGUUCGGGUUGUCAUGCCAAUGGCACUGCCCGGUAGCUAAAUGCGGAAGAGAUAAGUGCUGAAAGCAUCUAAGCACGAAACUUGCCCCGAGAUGAGUUCUCCCUGAGACUAUAAGUCUCCUGAAGGAACGUUGAAGACGACGACGUUGAUAGGCCGGGUGUGUAAGCGCAGCGAUGCGUUGAGCUAACCGGUACUAAUGAACCGUGAGGCUUAACCUU
rnacentral:rRNA from 1 species